AGGAGACCUAUCCCCGCUGGACUGAUUUCCUGCUCCCCCCACCCCACCCCACUUGAACUCCCGGUGCCCAAAGACAGGAGAGAAGGAGACACCUCCCCACCCUACCCCGCCCCGGUCCUUCUUGGGGGCGAGAAACUUCCCCUGACUUUCCUAACACUCACGGAGAGGCCAGGACACGAAGAUCCAAAACCCAAAACAGUGCUCAAGAAGUCUAAUCCGCAGCUGUUUCCUGCUCUGGAACCAGACGUAACUUGCCUUCAUUCACCAUCUUUCCAUUCAUCGAAAGUUCCCUUACAGCUGCUUGCACUGCUGAAAGGGACAGUUGUGAGGAUAAAAUGGCGGAAAGGAGAUUGAUGUGAGACGGUUUGGGACCCCAGUAAGAACAAAGGCAGAGCUUCCUGAACCGAGACUGCCAAACUUGCUAGAUUUCAGUGUGAUCACCCUUGAGGUUAAUUCUUCUCCUUCAGCUUGCAUGGGGUUGUUUUCAAGUAUUUGCCCCCAAAUAGCAAAAAGAAAACCCACCCUGCUGUGUUGGACCCAUGUAUUACUAAUCCACUUAUCAAGUGUUGGCGCAUUUGUAUUGCAUGAAAACCAUGUUAUACAGAUGUUCCAAAUUCACAGAAUAUGAACUCUGGACAUCUGCGGGCAUAAGAUGUUUAAAAGAUCUCACCGAUAAAGGAGAACUCUUGACUAAACAGAAAUUUGAAGUGAUUGUAAAAACUAAAGUACCUUGGUUACGGGACUACCAACUUCGGAGUCUCAUAGAGUGAGUAAAGGAAACGGACACCUUGAUAAGACCUAGAACAUCCUUUGAACAACUUCUCAGCAAAUCAACCUUCAGAUCUAAAGGGUUGUUAUCGAUCUUGUAUAAAAUUCUUUGGGACACAGAAAAAUGUGAGAUUCUCUCCAACAUGAUGGCCUCGAAAAAAGACUUGAAGGUUGACAUAACUCUCCAACGCUGGACAGAUAUCUGGGGUUCCCAUUCAAAUAAAUCAAGAGUAUUCAACAUUAGACUACAAUAUUUCAAGACUCUUACUAGAUGGUACCUCUCCCCAGCCCGAUUAAAACACAUGCAUCCAAAGUACAGCGAUGAAUGUUGGAAAGGUGGCUCCACAAGCAACUUAUUUCAUUGUUGGUGGUCCUGCUCGGUCAUACAAGGCUUCUGGAAACAGGUCCUAGAAGAAAGAAACAAAAUAACGGCAAUACCAUUGU